GGGUAGCGGAACACGUACGCAACCUUCCUUUAACUGGAGAAUAGCCCCUCGAAAGAGGGAUUAAUACUCCGUAACAUCCCGACAUGGCAUCAUGACGGGAUUAUAGCUCAGGCGGUUAAAGAUGGGCGUGCGCCUGAUUAGAUAGUUGGCGGGGUAACGGCCCACCAAGUCUGCGAUCAGUAACUGGUGUGAGAGCACGACCAGUCACACGGGCACUGAGACACGGGCCCG
rnacentral:rRNA from 1 species